rnacentral:rRNA from 1 species
AUGACCAUAAACAAGAGUCAAGGGCAAACCUUAAAUAGAGUUGGAGUCUAUUUGCCAUCUCCAGUGUUCUCUCAUGGUCAAUUAUAUGUAGCAUUUUCUAGAGUUACUUCACCAAAGGGGUUGAGAGUUCUAAUCGAAAAUAGUCCAUUUCUUAUGAGAAUUGCACCCAUAAUGUAG